AAGUCGAGGGGAAACGACAUCGAAAGCUUGCUUUUGAUGGGCGUCGACCGGCGCACGGGUGAGUAACGCGUAUCCAACCUGCCCACCACUUGGGGAUAACCUUGCGAAAGUAAGACUAAUACCCAAUGAUAUCUCUAGAAGACAUCUGAAAGAGAUUAAAGAUUUAUCGGUGAUGGAUGGGGAUGCGUUCCAUUAGUUUGUUGGCGGGGUAACGGCCCACCAAGGCUACGAUCAGUAGGGGUUCUGAGAGGAAGGUCCCCACAUUGGAACUGAGACACGGUCCAAACUCC
rnacentral:rRNA from 1 species